rnacentral:rRNA from 1 species
UACGGAGGGUGCGAGCGUUGUCCGGAAUCACUGGGCGUAAAGGGUGCGUAGGCGGCAGGCCAAGCGUGCGGUGAAAGUCCGGGGCUCAACCCCGGAUCUGCCGUGCGGACUGGUUUGCUAGAGCACUGUAGGGGCGAGUGGAAUUCCGGGUGUAGCGGUGGAAUGCGUAGAGAUCCGGAAGAACACCGGUGGCGAAGGCGGCUCGCUGGGCAGUGGCUGACGCUGAGGCGCGACAGCGUGGGGAGCAAACAGG